ACCUCUUUUGCGACUACUGGUCGUAUCACCACAGACUAAUAGUAUCACCACCUCCACCACCAUCGGCAACAGCACCACCAAAUCGAACAGCAGAUAUCCGCCGAAAGCGUUUCUCGCAUCACCCCACCAAGUAGUCUUUUUUUCCUCUUCAACGAUGAAGCUCCCCAGAUGGCUCAGCUCUUAAACCAGAUGCGAAAAUCAAAAAAAAAGUUCACUGAAAUCAGCAAGGAAUCCAGAGCAGCUAAAAAUUACAGAAAGUUUGCAGGAAAUCGGAAUUCAACCAUCAAUGAAAAUCAACGAGCGAAUGAACAGCAAUCCAAUUCGAAUCCGUGGAUUACCGGGAUUGAAGAAGGUUAUCUGGUCACAGAUUUCUGAGUACUUCAGAGUUCUGAGCUGCAAGAGCGCAUGAGCGAUCGGGAAAAAAUACCAAAUGCUAGUAUGCGUGGGAAGAUUAUGGAAGCUAUCAAUGACAACCAGGUGGUAUUGAUACGUGGCUGCGGAAAGACGACCCAGAUUGCUCAGUGUGUUUAUUGGAAUAUUUGCGUGACAGAGCCCAGAAGCAUAAACGCCGUCUGUGCUGCAAAACGUAUUGCAAACGAAAGGUGCGAGAAUUUAGGUGAAGUUUUCGGAUAUUUUCGUUUGAUUCGAAUACGUGCUUACGAGACCUUUUGGCUAAAUUAUGUUCUGUAUGAAUGGCGUUCUCCUUAGUUACCUGCAAUAAAUAGCAAGAAACGUAAGCGCAGUGUUAAAAAUGAUGACGGUAAAGGAGACGAUGAUGCUACCAAACUGAGCUGUGAACUCGACACCUCGAAAAACUCGAUGUACACAAAAUUCUGGAAGUGAUCCGAACAUCAACUACUUCGACUGAGCUCGAUGCCGUCAUUGAAGCAGAAGUGUUGCCGAAGGAAAUGAAAUGUCUCACUCACAAAUUUUGAAUGAAAAAUUCGGAUAAUGUAACCGUGUUGACUGAUUUUAUGAUGUGCUCCGAAAAACGCGAACAUGGUAAAAAAAAAUCCUUCUGUAAAUAGAAAGUUCUUGGACACGACGAGCAAUUCCAGAAGCCAAACCGCAACUAGUGGGUUUGAUGACACAAACAAGUUUUCCCGAAGAAUCUAUGAUCUAACAUUAUUUUAACCAGGAUGGCGAUAACGAACCUAAAUUGGUUAUGGUCUUGGGAUUUUUCUACAUAGGACUGUAGUACCCAAACAUAUCUACCGUAAACAUUCCUAAUUUUGCGCAUUUCAGAAGAUUUCAUAUGUUUAUUUAAUUAGGCAUUUUACUUUGAAAGUUUCAUUUUGCCGAAUGUAUCCAUUUUAUUAUGAGUAAGAGGGGAAGCCUUAAUAGUCGUGGUAAACUACUUUUAGGAAAGGAAAGGGAACCCAAGAUCUAUUUUCCGUCAGGGUUUCAGAAGAUCUAAAACAAUAUAGUUUUAUAAUAAUUAUUAUUAUAUCAUUUCUGCCUUAACACUA